CAGCCGCCGCGGUAACACCGGCGGCUCGAGUGGUGGCCACUUUUAUUGGGUCUAAAGCGUCCGUAGCCGGCUUGGCAAGUCCCCUGGGAAAUCUGGCGGCUUAACCGUCAGGCGUCCAGAGGAUACUGCCAGGCUUGGGACCGGGAGAGGUGAGAGGUACCUCAGGGGUAGGGGUGAAAUCUUGUGAUCCCUGAGGGACCACCAGUGGCGAAGGCGUCUCACUAGAACGGGUCCGACGGUCAGGGACGAAAGCUGGGGGCACGAACCGGAUUAGAUCCCCGGGUAGUCCCAGCCGUAAACGAUGCUCGCUAGGUGUCAGGCAUGGCAUGACUGUGCCUGGUGCCGAAGGGAAGCCGUGAAGCGAGCCACCUGGGAAGUACGGCCGCAAGGCUGAAACUUAAAGGAAUUGGCGGG
rnacentral:rRNA from 1 species